ACACACACACACACACACACUCCUUUGUGCACAGAGGAAUACAAACACACCCUCUCUCACACACACUCACACAAAUACACCUAAUCCUACCCCCAUGGACACCCAAACUAAAUUGUUAGCCUGGAGCAGCAAACUUGCCUCUGUCACUUUUAGAAGCAGCUGAAUAUCAGUCCAUCCUGCUUGGAAUAACAAUCACUAUUACAAGGGCCAUGGUUAGCAGCGAUUGCAGCGACAUAGACUUUAAGAGUGGAGGGAGACAGUCAUCGCUCCAGCACUUGCUGCAAAAAGGAAAGCAUAACCCUGAUCAGGCAUCUCGGAGGGUGUUCUCGACAAGAAGAACACCACUCGAUGAACAGGUUCCACUUUCUCAUAGAUGGUGCUCUCACAAAAGUGAUGAUGUCCACUACCUCUUGGGGUAGGUCACCAAGAACCUCCGCAUGAGGUCUGGACGCGGGUGCCACAGGGUGCCCCGUCUCUAAAUCAGUAGAUCCUCAGAGGAAUCCGCCAGGGAGGGGCUGUUGUGAGGAGCACUAAUUCGGGGAACCAGGUGAGAGUUGGCCAAUAUGGUGCCACAAGCAAAACCUGCUCCUCGUCCUCCCUGAAUUUGCACAGCGACUGUGCGAGAAGGCUCACUGGGGGGAACUCAUUAUUGCGCAGGCCCCGUGGCCAGCAGUGUGCCAGUGCAUCUGUGCCGAGUGUUUCCUUGGUCAGGGAAUAGAACAACUGCUAGUGAGAGGUUUCUGGAGAGGCAAACAGGUCUACCUGAGCGGCUCCUAAAUGUCUCCAAAUCAGCUGGACCACCCGGGGAUGGAUUCGCCACUCUCCCAGAAGCGUUGCUCGAGACAGCUCGUUGGCCAUACGGUUGAGCAGGCCCAGAAUAUGAAUGGCCUGAAGUUAAUUGCUUAUAAACAUAUUCAUGGCUAAAGUCUGAAAACAAUAUUCAGUACAAACUGGGGUACAGUAAUAUGUAAAUAGCAUGUACGUACAUGUGUCAUGAUCCUGGUUUCUUCUCCUCUUUCUCUGUCUCCCUCUUGUGGUCACACACUCACUCGCACACUCACUCACACAAUCACGCACACACAUCCACUCCUCCGCUCAUUAUCUCUUUCAGCUGUUUCCCCUUUCGUUCCCUUCUCCUCACCUGUCCCCUUUUUUCCUCUUGAUUGUCUCUGCUUCUUAUUCCCUGUUCCUAGCCCUGUCUUGUUGUCGGAUUAUUCAAUGACCUCUCGUGAGAAACGUCUGUUCUCUAGUUCUGUCCUGUCUUGGCCGUGGAAAGUGAAAUCAUAAUUUCUGCUGUGAGUUCGACUGCCAUUGGACUGUGUAUUAUCCAGCUGUGCCUGUUUGCAGAGUACCUGUUCAGCGCCCGCCCUUGGCUGUUCACCCUGUCUGCUGUCUUCACUAUUUCUGACUGGCUGAAUGCAUCUCAGGGUCCCUGCCUCUGUCCUCGUGGAAGUUUAUGCAGAUUUUCUUAGAUCCAGUCAUCUGGCAGUUUCUGUUCUGGCUCUGAUUAAUGCCUGUGAUUUGUGUUCUAAUUAUUCAGUGAAGACAAUUUACUUUAUUCAUUAAAGACUGUUAACUGCAUCCCGCCCUGGUCUUCCAUCGUUCCUACCCUAAGAGAAUAAUCCGACCAGAAGAUGGACCAGGCGAGUGGUAACCCCCUUCACAAUGCUGUAGAGCUCCAGGGUGCUCUGCUGGGUAAACAUGAGGAAGAUUUAUCCACCGCGAGACGUGCCGUUGAUUCCCUGACCACCCAGCUCUCGGAUCUAACCCAGCAGUUCCAUCACUACCGUCAUGAAACCACUGCUUCAGUUGGACAGCGUGACUCUUCUGAGCCAUGUAUAAACAACCCGCCGUGCUACUCUGGCGAGCCUUCCUCACCCAAUGCGAGGUUG